rnacentral:rRNA from 1 species
CCUACGGGUGGCAGCAGUGGGGAAUAUUGGGCAAUGGACGCAAGUCUGACCCAGCAACGCCGCGUGAAGGAAGAAGGCUUUCGGGUUGUAAACUUCUUUUAAGGGGGAAGAGCAGAAGACGGUACCCCUUGAAUAAGCCACGGCUAACUACGUACCAGCAGCCGCGGUAAUACGUAGGUGGCAAGCGUUGUCCGGAUUUACUGGGUGUAAAGGGCGUGCAGCCGGAGAGACAAGUCAGAUGUGAAAUCCACGGGCUCAACCCGUGAACUGCAUUUGAAACUGUUUCCCUUGAGUGUCGGAGGGGAAAGCGGAAUUCGUGGUGUAGCGGUGAAAGGCGUAGAUAAAAGGAAGAACAACAGGGGCGAAGGGGGAUUAAUGGACGAUAACGGACGGUGAGGCGCGAAAGCGUGGGGAGCAAACAGGAUUAGAUACCCGAGUAGUC